rnacentral:rRNA from 1 species
AACGAACGCUGGCGGCAUGCCUAACACAUGCAAGUCGAACGAGACCUUCGGGUCUAGUGGCGCACGGGUGCGUAACGCGUGGGAACCUGCCCUUAGGUUCGGAAUAACUCCCCGAAAGGGGUGCUAAUACCGGAUAAUAUCUUCGGACCAAAGAUUUAUCGCCUUUGGAUGGGCCCGCGUUGGAUUAGCUAGUUGGUAGGGUAAAAGCCUACCAAGGCGACGAUCCAUAGCUGGUCUGAGAGGAUGAUCAGCCACACUGGGACUGAGACACGGCCCAGACUCCUACGGGAGGCAGCAGUGGGGAAUAUUGGACAAUGGGCGAAAGCCUGAUCCAGCAAUGCCGCGUGAGUGAUGAAGGCCUUAGGGUUGCAAAGCUCUUUUACCCGGGAUGAUAAUGACAGUACCGGGAGAAUAAGCUCCGGCUAACUCCGUG